rnacentral:rRNA from 1 species
ACGGGGGGUGCAAGCGUUACUCGGAAUCACUGGGCGUAAAGAGCAUGUAGGCGGAUUAAUAAGUUUGAAGUGAAAUCCUAUAGCUUAACUAUAGAACUGCUUUGAAUACUGUUAAUCUAGAAUGUGGGAGAGGUAGAGGGAAUUUCUGGUGUAGGGGUAAAAUCCGUAGAUAUCAGGAGGAAUACCGGUUGCGUAGGCGAUUUACUGGAACAUUAUUGACGCUGAGGUGCGAAAGCCUGGGGAGCAAAUGG